AAGCAAUGAAAGUAAAAGAAGAAGGAGAUGACAGUGAGAAUACAAAAGGUUCUGUCAUUAAUAAAGAUGUCAAGAACCAAGGUGUUGUGAAUGGAAAGAAGAGGAAGAGAACUUCACAAGUCAAGGAAGUAGAUUCGACGAAAGGGGAAAAUGGUGUUGGGAACAAAACUAACUCUAAUGAGUUAAUAAAGUCGGUUGGAUUUAGACAAAACGGGAGUAGAAGGAAAAACAAGCCUAGGCGAGCUGCUGAAGUUGGCGUUGAGUGCAGAUGAACAGCUCUCUUUGCUAUUGAGGACUGAUUCUAUACUGAUCUAUAUAUGCUUUUCAUUUUGCCCCUUGUUACUGUUUCUUGUUUUUUGAUAUUUAGCUAAAACUUGCAGAAGAACUGAAUUUGUUCAAAUUCUAGUAGAUUUCAAUGUGCUGCUGCUGCUGCUAAUCGCUUAGCAGGUUCCUUGUUUUGCAUAUGUCAUGGAAAACUAAGCAAUAUUUUCCCGUGUACUCUAUU
rnacentral:misc_RNA from 1 species